UAAUACGAGGGGUGCAAGCGUUGUUCGGAAUCACUGGGCGUAAAGGGAGCGCAGGCGGAAGCUCAAGCGGAUUGUACAAUACCGGGGCCCAACCCCGGACCUGCAGUCCGAACUGGGUUUCUUGGAUAGUUCAGGGGCAAGCGGAAUUCCUGGUGUAGCGGUGGAAUGCGUAGAGAUCAGGAAGAACACCGAUGGCGAAGGCAGCUUGCUGGGGACUUAUCGACGCUCAUGCUCGAAAGUGCGGGUAGCAAACAGGAUUAGAUACCCUGGUAGUCCGCACCGUAAACGAUGCAUACUGGGUGUCCGCGGUUCGCCGCGGGUACCGUAGCCAACGCGUUAAGUAUGCCGCCUGGGGAGUACGUACGCAAGUAUGAAACUCAAAGGAAUUGACGGGGGCCCGCACAAGCGGAGGAACAUGUGGUUUAAUUCGAUGAUACGCGAGGAACCUUACCCGGGCUUGAAUUGCAGAGGAAGUGGUCAGAGAUGGCCUCCGCCCUUCGGGGUUCUCUGUGAA
rnacentral:rRNA from 1 species